rnacentral:rRNA from 1 species
AGAGUUUGAUCCUGGCUCAGAGCGAACGCUGGCGGCAGGCCUAACACAUGCAAGUCGAACGGAUCCUUCGGGAUUAGUGGCGGACGGGUGAGUAACACGUGGGAACGUGCCCUUUGGUUCGGAACAACUCAGGGAAACUUGAGCUAAUACCGGAUGUGCCCUUCGGGGGAAAGAUUUAUCGCCAUUGGAGCGGCCCGCGUCUGAUUAGCUAGUUGGUGGGGUAAAGGCCCACCAAGGCGACGAUCAGUAGCUGGUCUGAGAGGAUGAUCAGCCACAUUGGGACUGAGACACGGCCCAAACUCCUACGGGAGGCAGCAGUGGGGAAUCUUGCGCAAUGGGCGAAAGCCUGACGCAGCCAUGCCGCGUGAAUGAUGAAGGUCUUAGGAUUGUAAAAUUCUUUCACCGGGGACGAUAAUGACGGUACCCGGAGAAGAAGCCCCGGCUAACUUCGUGCCAGCAGCCGCGGUAAUACGAAGGGGGCUAGCGUUGCUCGGAAUUACUGGGCGUAAAGGGAGCGUAGGCGGACUGUUUAGUCAGAGGUGAAAGCCCAGGGCUCAACCUUGGAAUUGCCUUUGAUACUGGCAGUCUUGAGUACGGAAGAGGUAUGUGGAACUCCGAGUGUAGAGGUGAAAUUCGUAGAUAUUCGGAAGAACACCAGUGGCGAAGGCGACAUACUGGUCCGUUACUGACGCUGAGGCUCGAAAGCGUGGGGAGCAAACAGGAUUAGAUACCCUGGUAGUCCACGCCGUAAACGAUGAGUGCUAGUUGUCGGCAUGCAUGCAUGUCGGUGACGCAGCUAACGCAUUAAGCACUCCGCCUGGGGAGUACGGUCGCAAGAUU